rnacentral:rRNA from 1 species
CGGCGAGUUACGAUUUGAUGCAAGGUUAAGCAGUAAAUGUGGAGCCGUAGCGAAAGCGAGUCUGAAUAGGGCGUUUAGUAUUUGGUCGUAGACCCGAAACCAGGUGAUCUACCCUUGGUCAGGUUGAAGUUCAGGUAACACUGAAUGGAGGACCGAACCGACUUACGUUGAAAAGUGAGCGGAUGAACUGAGGGUAGCGGAGAAAUUCCAAUCGAACCUGGAGAUAGCUGGUUCUCUCCGAAAUAGCUUUAGGGCUAGCCUCAAGUGAUGAUUAUUGGAGGUAGAGCACUGUUUGGACGAGGGGCCCCUCUCGGGUUACCGAAUUCAGACAAACUCCGAAUGCCAAUUAAUUUAACUUGGGAGUCAGAACAUGGGUGAUAAGGUCCGUGUUCGAAAGGGAAACAGCCCAGACCACCAGCUAAGGUCCCAAAAUAUAUGUUAAGUGGAAAAGGAUGUGGCGUUGCCCAGACAACUAGGAUGUUGGCUUAGAAGCAGCCAUCAUUUAAAGAGUGCGUAAUAGCUCACUAGUCGAGUGACACUGCGCCGAAAAUGUACCGGGGCUAAACAUAUUACCGAAGCUGUGGAUUGUCCUUUGGACAAUGGUAGGAGAGCGUUCUAAGGGCGUUGAAGCAUGAUCGUAAGGACAUGUGGAGCGCUUAGAAGUGAGAAUGCCGGUGUGAGUAGCGAAAGACGGGUGAGAAUCCCGUCCACCGAUUGACUAAGGUUUCCAGAGGAAGGCUCGUCCGCUCUGGGUUAGUCGGGUCCUAAGCUGAGGCCGACAGGCGUAGGCGAUGGAUAACAGGUUGAUAUUCCUGUACCACCUAUAAUCGUUUUAAUCGAUGGGGGGACGCAGUAGGAUAGGCGAAGCGUGCGAUUGGAUUGCACGUCUAAGCAGUAAGGCUGAGUAUUAGGCAAAUCCGGUACUCGUUAAGGCUGAGCUGUGAUGGGGAGAAGACAUUGUGUCUUCGAGUCGUUGAUUUCACACUGCCGAGAAAAGCCUCUAGAUAGAAAAUAGGUGCCCGUACCGCAAACCGACACAGGUAGUCAAGAUGAGAAUUCUAAGGUGAGCGAGCGAACUCUCGUUAAGGAACUCGGCAAAAUGACCCCGUAACUUCGGGAGAAGGGGUGCUCUUUAGGGUUAACGCCCAGAAGAGCCGCAGUGAAUAGGCCCAAGCGACUGUUUAUCAAAAACACAGGUCUCUGCUAAACCGUAAGGUGAUGUAUAGGGGCUGACGCCUGCCCGGUGCUGGAAGGUUAAGAGGAGUGGUUAGCUUCUGCGAAGCUACGAAUCGAAGCCCCAGUAAACGGCGGCCGUAACUAUAACGGUCCUAAGGUAGCGAAAUUCCUUGUCGGGUAAGUUCCGACCCGCACGAAAGGCGUAACGAUUUGGGCACUGUCUCAACGAGAGACUCGGUGAAAUCAUAGUACCUGUGAAGAUGCAGGUUACCCGCGACAGGACGGAAAGACCCCGUGGAGCUUUACUGUAGCCUGAUAUUGAAAUUCGGCACAGCUUGUACAGGAUAGGUAGGAGCCUUUGAAACGUGAGCGCUAGCUUACGUGGAGGCGCUGGUGGGAUACUACCCUAGCUGUGUUGGCUUUCUAACCCGCACCACUUAUCGUGGUGGGAGACAGUGUCAGGCGGGCAGUUUGACUGGGGCGGUCGCCUCCUAAAAGGUAACGGAGGCGCUCAAAGGUUCCCUCAGAAUGGUUGGAAAUCAUUCAUAGAGUGUAAAGGCAUAAGGGAGCUUGACUGCGAGACCUACAAGUCGAG